CCUACGGGGGGCAGCAGUGAGGAAUAUUGGUCAGUGGGCGGAAGCCUGAACCAGCCAAGUAGCGUGAGGGACUAAGGCCCUACGGGUCGUAAACCUCUUUUGCCGGGGAUCAGUGCCCAGCUCGCGAGCUGGGAGGGAGCGUACCCGGAGAAAAAGCAUCGGCUAACUACGUGCCAGCAGCCGCGGUAAUACGUAGGGGGCAAGCGUUAUCCGGAUUUACUGGGUUUAAAGGGAGCGUAGACGGUGCAGCAAGUCUGAGGUGAAAGGUCGGGGCCCAACCCCGGGACUGCAUUGGAAACUGGUGAACUGGAGUACAGGAGAGGUAAGCGGAAUUCCUAGUGUAGCGGUGAAAUGCGUAGAUAUUAGGAGGAACACCAGUGGCGAAGGCGGCUUACUGGACUGUAACUGACGUUGAGGCUCGAAAGCGUGGGGAGCAAACAGGAUUAGAUACCCGGGUAGUC
rnacentral:rRNA from 1 species